rnacentral:rRNA from 1 species
GGGAGGCAGCAGUGGGGAAUAUUGCGCAAUGGGCGAAAGCCUGACGCAGNGACGCCGCGUGAGGGAUGACGGCCUUCGGGUUGUAAACCUCUUUCAGUAGGGACGAAGCGAAAGUGACGGUACCUACAGAAGAAGCACCGGCCAACUACGUGCCAGCAGCCGCGGUAAUACGUAGGGUGCAAGCGUUGUCCGGAAUUAUUGGGCGUAAAGAGCUCGUAGGCGGUCUGUCACGUCGGCUGUGAAAACCCGAGGCUCAACCUCGGGCCUGCAGUCGAUACGGGCAAACUAGAGUACUGCAGGGGAGACUGGAAUUCCUGGUGUAGCGGUGAAAUGCGCAGAUAUCAGGAGGAACACCGGUGGCGAAGGCGGGUCUCUGGGCAGUAACUGACGCUGAGGAGCGAAAGCGUGGGGAGCGAACAGGAUUAGAUACCCUGGUAGUCCACGCCGUAAACGUUGGGCGCUAGGUGUGGGGGCCAUUCCACGGUCUCCGUGCCGCAGCUAACGCAUUAAGCGCCCCGCCUGGGGAGUACGGCCGCAAGGCUAAAACUCAAAGGAAUUGACGGGGGCCCGCACAAGCGGCGGAGCAUGUUGCUUAAUUCGAUGCAACGCGAAGAACCUUACCUAGGCUUGACAUGCACGGAAAUCUGUCAGAGA